UACGUAGGGUGCGAGCGUUAAUCGGAAUUACUGGGCGUAAAGCGUGCGCAGGCGGUCUGUUAAGACCGAUGUGAAAUCCCCGGGCUUAACCUGGGAAUGGCAUUUGGGACUGCAAGGCUGGAGUGUGGCAGAGGAGACUGGAAUUCCCGGUGUAGCGGUGAAAUGCGCAGAUAUCGGGAGGAACACCCGUAGCGAAGGCGGCACUCUGGGCCGUGACUGACGCUGAGGAGCGAAAGCGUGGGGAGCAAACAGGG
rnacentral:rRNA from 1 species